rnacentral:rRNA from 1 species
AGUGAACGCUGGCGGUAGGCCUAACACAUGCAAGUCGAACGGCAGCACAGGAGAGCUUGCUCUCUGGGUGGCGAGUGGCGGACGGGUGAGGAAUACAUCGGAAUCUACUCUGUCGUGGGGGAUAACGUAGGGAAACUUACGCUAAUACCGCAUACGACCUACGGGUGAAAGCAGGGGACCUUCGGGCCUUGCGCGAUUGAACGAGCCGAUGUCGGAUUAGCUAGUUGGCGGGGUAAAGGCCCACCAAGGCGACGAUCCGUAGCUGGUCUGAGAGGAUGAUCAGCCACGCUGGAACUGAGACACGGUCCAGACUCCUACGGGAGGCAGCAGUGGGGAAUAUUGGGCAAUGGGCGCAAGCCUGAUCCAGCCAUACCGCGUGGGUGAAGAAGGCCUACGGGUUGUAAAGCCCUUUUGUUGGGAAAGAAAUCCAGCUGGCUAAUACCCGGUUGGGAUGACGGUACCCAAAGAAUAAGCACCGGCUAACUUCGUGCCAGCAGCCGCCGUAA